rnacentral:misc_RNA from 1 species
GAUGAAGAACGCAGCGAAAUGCGAUAAGUAAUGUGAAUUGCAGAAUUCAGUGAAUCAUCGAAUCUUUGAACGCACAUUGCGCCCCCUGGUAUUCCGGGGGGCAUGCCUGUCCAAGCGUCAUUACAACCCUCAAGCCCAGCUUGGUGUUGGGCCCCGCCGCCCCGGCGGGCCCUAAAGUCAGUGGCGGUGCCGUCCGGCUCCGAGCGUAGUAAUUCUUCUCGCUCUGGAGGUCCGGUCGUGUGCUCGCCAGCAACCCCCAAUUUUUUUCAGGUUGACCUCGGAUCAGGUAGGGAUACCCGCUGAACUUAAGCAUAUCAAUAAGCGGAGGA